GACGAACGCUGGCGGCGUGCUUAACACAUGCAAGUCGAACGGAAAGGCCCUGCUUUUGUGGGGUGCUCGAGUGGCGAACGGGUGAGUAACACGUGAGUAACCUGCCCUUGACUUUGGGAUAACUUCAGGAAACUGGGGCUAAUACCGGAUAGGAGCUCCUGCUGCAUGGUGGGGGUUGGAAAGUUUCGGCGGUUGGGGAUGGACUCGCGGCUUAUCAGCUUGUUGGUGGGGUAGUGGCUUACCAAGGCUUUGACGGGUAGCCGGCCUGAGAGGGUGACCGGCCACAUUGGGACUGAGAUGCGGACCAGACUCCUACGUGAGGCAGCAGUGGGGAAUAUUGCACAAUGGGCGGAAGCCUGAUGCAGCAACGCCGCGUGCGGGAUGACGGCCUUCGGGUUGUAAACAGAUUUCGCCUGUGACGAAGCGUGAGUGACGGUAAUGGGUAAAGAAGCACCGGCUAACUACGUG
rnacentral:rRNA from 1 species